rnacentral:rRNA from 1 species
GGAAUAUUGGACAAUGGGCGAAAGCCUGAUCCAGCAAUGCCGCGUGUGUGAAGAAGGCCUGCGGGUUGUAAAGCACUUUCAGGAGGGAAGAAAAGUUCAGGGCUAAUACCCCUGAGUGUUGACGUCACCUCCAGAAGAAGCACCGGCGAACUCCGUGCCAGCAGCCGCGGUAAUACGGAGGGUGCAAGCGUUAAUCGGAAUUACGGGGCGUAAAGCGCGCGCAGGCGGUUGGGUAAGUCGGUUGUGAAAGCCCUGGGCUUAACCUGGGAAUUGCAGUCGAUACUGCUCAACUAGAGUAUGGGAGAGGGAAGUGGAAUUUCCAGUGUAGCGGUGAAAUGCGUAGAUAUCGGAAGGAACACCAGUGGCGAAAGCGACUUCCUGGCCCAAUACUGACGCUCAGGUGCGAAAGCGUGGGGAGCAAAC